rnacentral:rRNA from 1 species
UAACGCGUGGGUAACCUGCCUCAUACAGGGGGAUAACAGUUAGAAAUGACUGCUAAUACCGCAUAAGCGCACAGUGCUGCAUGGCACAGUGUGAAAAACUCCGGUGGUAUGAGAUGGACCCGCGUCUGAUUAGCUAGUUGGUGGGGUAACGGCCUACCAAGGCGACGAUCAGUAGCCGGCCUGAGAGGGUGAACGGCCACAUUGGGACUGAGACACGGCUCAA